UCAUAGCGUAGAGAAAGCAUGAAAAGAAGAGAGCAGCUCCAGAUUUUUUGAAAGAAACUUAGAGUAGACCGACGGAGCUUCCAAAAAAAGAUUGAAGACUGAAAAUGAGAUCUACUUUGUGUGUCAGUGUCCUCCUCGUGCUGGCUCUGCUGCAUCAGGGCGAGCCCUUAGUGUGUAACUACUGUUUUGGAAAGGGGAGCUCUCUCUGCACUCCCACCUCCAAUCAGACCUGUUCAAGAGGAGUUGACGGCUGUGCAGCUGUCAUCCUGACAGGAGCAUUGUCCGCUAACUUUCGUUCCUGCAUGAACAUGGCUGUGUGUCAAGGCUACGUGCAAACGCCAGGUGCCUUUGCUACAUGCUGCAGCACAGACCUCUGCAACUAGACGUCUUUAUCGCAAAUUCUUUGGAAAUUUUUUUUAUAAUCUUUGCUUAUAUGCCCUGUAUUUUUUUCUUAUUGUUAAAAAAAAUGUAGACUGGUGUCUGUCUCUCUUUUUUAUUUUCUUUUUAAAUAUAUAAACCAUUGUCACUAGAAUUUACCUUUACUUGGUGCAAAUGUUCACUUUUUGUGAAGGUCCAGUUUUAUAACAGGGAUUUCCAGCCAUUGUUGUCUUCAGACUUCAGACCAGGGGUGGCCAACCAGUCAAGAGGCUAAGAGCCACACGUCAUGCGUACAUCUUUUUAUCUGUACGAAUUGGGUUUUCCCUAAGUAAUAUGUGUCAACACCCAUUGUCAUGAGAUUGGCAUAGCAUAAAAAAAUCACAAACCUAAAAUUCAACAUGAACAUAAGAGCCGCAUGAAACUGGACAAAGAUCCGUAUGUGGCUCCUGAGCCGCAGGUUGGCCAUGCCUGCUUUAGACACUUGACACAGUUUGGCAUUUUGUCUUGACUACCAGGUUACUACAAUAUUAACACAAACCUCAGAAUGUUGCUUGCAUGACCCCUCCCCCCACAAUUCUUUUUGGUUUAAUAAACCAAAGAAAAGUUCCUUUGAAUGUCAGCUUUGAAAAAAUAAUCUUCCUUCUACCUGAAGAAAUUGGAUUGUUUUGAGAAUUUGUCAACCAGAUUUAAGUCCUUUGAGAAAGAUACUCUCCACUAUCACUAGAUGGCAGUAGAGCAACGUGGAGCAAGGGCAACUUCCGCAUCACUGUGUGUGUGGGUGUGUGUGCAUGGGAGGUGGUGGAUGAAGUGGAGGUGUGCGGUGGGGGGAGGGAUGCGGGUCAAUAUUAAUAAAACAAAUAACGAAUUGAGUGACA